UGACGUCUGUUCCUCCACCUGUUAUAAGUGUGUCAGUGUGGAUUUUAUGGCGUCACAGAUUGAAACAGGGUCUGUUUCACCCAGAAGGGAUCAGGCAGCAAGCUGCUGCCCCCUUAUACCCUUUUGGUUUUGCGGGACCCUACAAAU